GAUGAAGAACGCAGCGAAAUGCGAUAAGUAAUGCGAAUUGCAGAAUUCAGUGAAUCAUCGAAUCUUUGAACGCACAUUGCGCCCGCCAGUAUUCUGGCGGGCAUGCCUAUUCGAGCGUCAUUUCAACCAUCAAGCCCCAGGCUUGUGUUGGGGACCUGCGGCUGCCGCAGGCCCUGAAAACCAGUGGCGGGCUCGCUGUCACACCGGGCGUAGUAGAUUUUAUCUCGCUCAGGGCGUGCUGCGGGUUCCGGCCGUUAAAAAGCCUUUUUUACCCAAGGUUGACCUCGGAUCAGGUAGGAAGACCCGCUGAACUUAAGCAUAUCAAUAAGCGGAGGA
rnacentral:misc_RNA from 1 species